UGGGCCUCAGGGAGGGGGCAGAAAGGGUUAAGAUCCUUGCAUUGCAGAUUCAUACCACCAGAGCUCAGCCACAGCAGGAGAGACACCGAACGACUAAGUGGGCGGAGUGACUCAGCCCGUUGACGUCAGCCAGCCUCUGUCCUGCAGUAUUUGAGCAAUGGAUAUGUGAAUGGAGCGGUGGCCCCGUGGUGGCCCCGUGGUGGCAGGGAUCAAGGCCAUCCAUAUGGCACAUACUCCAGAGAAGCAUCCACUAUAGGAGGCCGUGACCCCGAAAGAUAGACUUUCUGUAUCCAGGAACCAAGGCAUAGGAGCGGUCCUGCUUACCAUCCCUCCUAGUGACCCAGCUGGGGGAUCUGUGCUCCCCAACCCCACAGAUGCAGACCCUGUGGGUCUAAAGAGGCUGGUUUCCAGAGGACGGCUGCUUUCAUCUGAUGUCUUCUGACUCCUGGUACCAGGAGAUCAGCAGGCAAGGCAAGAAGCUGCCCCUAGGGCAGGAGCCAUUGAGCCCAGUGAUGGGAGGGGGCGGUACCAUUGUUGCAUAAAGGGGAAGGACUGAAUAUGUUUGGCCUUCAGGUACUCCCCUGGGGCAUCUCUUGGUACACCCCUGCCUGAUACGAGGUAAAUGGGCGAGUGUAGAAAGCCAUGCCAGAGAACUGUGUGCUGUGGUGUAGUAACCAGGGGCGUGGGCUCCUUAGGGAUGAGGGUCUGGAUCCCUCCAAUAGGUAAGUUUCCUAGAACAACAGAGGUGUUGGCUCGAGGUGAGAGGUAUCCAGAAUGGGUCGGAGAGGAUGGGGUUAGUGGGAUUCAGCUGUGGCCCCCUAAUCGGAUGUGGUGACGGUGGUUGGUCCCACUCAUCUUCCUCUGGUAGUUUCCACUGGUGAAGAGAAGCCCCAGAAGAGCCUAGGAGUUGCUCCCAGAAGGGGCACACUCAGAACACGGAGUCAGUGAUCCCGGUGGUACAAAAGCUACAUUGUACGGGAUGCCGUGCUGUGCUGCCCGGAAUUCCUGCAUGGGACCAAGGUACUUUGCCCCCCAAGGGCUAAGGGUGCCAGCUGCUCAUGACUCCCAUGGGAGUCCCCCUCUAGGAACUAAGCUCAUCUUCAGGUAGCCCAAGGCUACAGCUCCUCCCGAAGGGAAGCCCACAUCCAAUGACUGGUUGGUGCGGAAUACAGCCUGGCACCUUCGUCCCGAUUCAGGGCAACUUUGGAGGGAAGUUCAACUUCUGAGCUUCCUGUAUGAUUCAACUUCUUCCUCUGCCUAAUUUUGCUUCUCUCACUCGUGUCAAGGUACUGUUAUUUUUUUAUUAUUAAAAAUAAGUACCUUAUUGUCUCGGGUAACCCUUCCACAUUCGUAUCAGCCAACACUUUUGUUACACCCAUCUCACAGAUGAGAAAAGGGAGACACUGAGUGGUUAUGGGAGGUCACGGAGUCUCCUUUGGUGGCAAUAAUUCUGUGACAUUUGGCUUCUCUCCUCUCUCCGGGCUGUGAAGGUCCAACUCUGCCUUGCAGGUUUCUUCCCUGGGGGUGGGGAUGGGAGCAAAGAGAAGUAGAAUUCAUGGCUGGAUCUUUUGUGUGUUGAGAGACGAACAUUCAGAAGCUUUGGGAAAACUCUGGGAGACCGUGACCGUUGUAAAAUUGGUCUACGCGUUGCCUCCCAUGGUUUACUGGAGUAGUUAGACGUAAAAGCGUUAAUAUUGGCUGAUGUGGUUUGGGGGGGGGCGCGCAGUGAGUAGGGAGAGAGAGAGGGACCAAGGGACCAUGAGAGGACCUGGGGGUCCCCUGUCCUUUUCCAUCAGUCUGGGGGAGAUCGGGCCUCCCGGCGACCAGUCGGUGAGAGCUGAAAAAACAUUUUUUAAAGAUUUACAUGACACAUUGUGUAAGUUCGAGGUGUACAACAUGUGGAUUUGACACACGUAUGGAUUGUAAAAUGAUUAAUGCUGAAGCUUUCGAGAGGCCAGGAGAGCGGAUGGAUUUCUGAAGCCAGUGAGACCGGGGCAUGUGGGGAGCUCCUCCCCAGACGUUUCACCGUGGUAAGCUCCUGGAUGCAAAGAUUCAGACGCUGAGCAGCCUCCUUUCCUGGGAUUCGGGCUCCAGGAGGGGAGAUAACAUUUGGAGGCACACAGCUGUGCUACAAAGCAUGCUGCAGGAGAGAGAGAGAGCGAGAGAGAGAAGAGCGAGCGAGCUGGAGUGGGGCUAGCAUGGUGAGAUCAGCAAUGCAGCAGGGCAGAAAAGCCUGCAACAUUUCUACUGCUGGUGGAGAGAGAGAGAGACCUGAACUGUGUGAAUUCAAACCAGCCUUUACCUGGUGCGAGAGAAGUCUGUGUUGGAAUGCGCACGGGGCCGCUGUGUGACCCUGGGCGCCCUUUACCAUUCAGAUCCUCAGCUGAACCAGAAGUCUCUAAGGCUUUCUUUUCCAUUCUGAGUCGGAGGAGAGAAGCCACCCAGGAGGGGAAGGAAGGGGACGUGAGCGAAGGGCCCUUCCAGGGUUCCCGUGGGGGAGGCCCCUGGUUCACAGUCCGACACGGGGUAUAGGUACCACGUUUAUAGGUGCCAUGUUUUCUCUCCCCGUUGUGGGGGAAUCUCACCCCUUCAGACACGACGCUGCUGAAACAUGACAGCACUGGGGCUUUCGGGAAACAUUGCUGCAGGCGGACAGAGUCGAGAGACGGCAGGUGGCGCUCUUUCUCCAAAAACAGAUUGGUAUCUGUCACAGAGGACCUCUGCGGUCCGCAGGCAUCCAGGGGACCACAGGGAAACGGCUGGUCACGAUGGCCCCUCGGGCAUAGCUGUCCCCUCACUCGGACACUCCCUGCUGGGCCUGGGCUAAAAAAAAAAAAAAACACUGACCAAGAUGAAUGCGCACAGCCCCCUGCCCAUGACCUUCAUGCCAGCUGCUGCGUUUGCAAAGGAGAAUCUCGAGCAUCACCAGGGCUGAUUGCACACGUCUGGGCUUUAGGUCACGACAGGGCAGGGUCACACCGUCUCUGGGUGUGCUGCUCAAACUCAUCGCUUAUCACACGGGCAGCAGAGGGGGCCAGGUCCUCCUGCCGUAUCGGGUGAGCCAGUAUCCUCUGGGAAACGGAUGGGAGGCAGGAUUCCAGAAGCACCCCUUCUCUGGAGGAGCUGGAUUUUACCUGGGGAACGUUGCCGUUUUUCAGAGAAGACCGAUCUGAAAUUGGACCUUCUUUGAAGAUGUAUGUAAACAGAAGCGAGCCAGCAAGCAAGCAGAGACCCACCCAAAUUAUCUCACAAUCAAGGGAAAAGAUCACUGGGCUGGAAUUCAGGAAUCUGGCAAGGACACUAACUGGCUGUGUGACUUUAGGCAGGUCGCUUAUGUCUGGCCCUGCCCCACUUUGAUCAUCAGGAGUAAUGAAUUGCUCAUGUCCCUUUCAGUUAAAUAGCAUGUGUGUGUCUUUGAGAGAGAAAGAGAGAGAGAAAAGGGGAGAAAGGGAGACAAGACAGAGACAGAGGCAGGAUGGAAGCGUGUGUUCUUGGGGACUGAGGAGGCCCCCCAACUCUGAUUCCCAUUUCAAGCAUUAGAGCCCAUGGGGACCACACCCAGUGAAGAGCUAUGUCACCUCCGCCAUCCUGGGAACCGGAGUAGUUCCCUCAGAAGCAUCGUAACCACCAUAGAUGUGCGUACGAUCUUCAUUUAGUGGCUGGAACAGCCGUGCGCCUCCCAUCCGAGCCCCCAUCUUCUGGCUUCUCGGGAGCGACUUCAACCAACAGAGUUCCAGCGGGGAGAGAAAGAGAGAGAGCUCUUCCCUCACUCCUGGGGCGUUGGAUACAGUUGGCAGAGUCACAGCUGAAAAGGGGAAGCAGAUGGAAAUGAAGUCACAUCUGCGGCGAGUUGGACGUCUUGGGUUGAGUUUGUCACCCUCCACUGAGAGUCCUUCCCGGGUACGGUAGACUGUUUUCACGUGCCAGUCCCAACUAUGGGUGCAGUGAGGUGAAGACAACCGUUUCAUUCACCGCGUUUUCUUUUAGGGAAAGCACUGUUUGUUUGGAAGAAAUACUUAGCUCAAUUGGUUGGGUUGAAGUGUGAGACUUCGGGGCGUGCUCUCAACCCCUGGAGCUUGCUCGCUAGCCGCGAGACAGGAGAUAAAGCCAAGUAUUCUGUUCUUGACAGGAAGGCGUGGAGGGAGAGAGGAAGGGGGGGGAGCAAGAGUGACUCGAUGAGAGACUGUGAUGUGUGAUGCAGGACCCUCUCCAUCCCUGACCCCCCCGCCUCCCCGCUGUAAAAUCCGUGAACUUGCUGAUUAACCGCUUGCUCACGCGAGCAGAAUGCUGGACUCCAAGGAGCUGGGUUCCUGGUCAGUUUCUUGUCCUCACUGACGGGGAGCUGACACGGAAGUGUGUGUCAGCAGAUGCUGGAGGCAGAAGGUACCAUGAGAAAGCCUACAUCGCCAGGAAUGAGACGGAAGGAGAGAGUUUUGAGCUGUGGAAUUUGAGUCUUCAACCUUGACCUCAAUGUCAAGGCAGAAUCCAAGCUGGCCUCUUCACAGCAGCCAGAUGAAACCCGUGUCCCUUCUGUGCUGCAUCGUUGGCUUGCCGACUGUUCCAACUUUUGAUGAUUGGCGCCGUCUGUGAUUAUGUGAGCUAUAGGAACGUUGGAUGUUUAAGGGCGUCCAGAACUCAAGGUUCAGGGACUCCCUUGAUCUCAGAAUAACCCAAUAAAUGUUUUUGUAGUGGUGGAUCUAUA